CCCGUAUGAUCACCGAAGUUAAGCAACGUCCAGCCUGUUCAGUACGUAGAUGGGUAACUGCUUGGAAAUACCAGGUGCUGUAAG